rnacentral:lncRNA from 1 species
UUUAUUAUUCUUUAGGUUGUUACUAGUUUCUCAUUUCUUGUUUUGCAGAAACGAGAGGCAGAGGACUGCUUCUAGCUGAGCUCAAAACUUCACACACCUACUUCAUGAUUCCCAGCAUCUUUUGGCUUCCAGUGACUUCUGUCAGGAUUCUUUGGAGCAGAGGUCUUAGGAUUAAAGUGCUGGGGUGCUGAGGUGGCCCUGACACAUGCCUCUGGGACCACACAUACCCAUGGGACCACCAAUACAUGCUGGAGGGUCCCACAGAGCACAGCAACAAGGAGGAUCUAAGGAUGUGAUAGCUCCAACUGAGCGAGUGCUGAAGACUCCUGUUGUCAGCGUAGAGUUCAAAUUGGAAAUGCAUGUGUUAGAGACCUUUCCACUCUUGUGCUCUCUGGAACUGAAUUGCUGAAGUAAAUGAAGAACAUGAAGAACUAGAGUGUCAGGUGGCCAUCAGUUUCUAAGCCUGCAGCAACAUCCUGGCUGGGCAUCUCUGCAGGUCUGCAUCCAGAUUGUCCUCCACAGGAAGGAACCUCUUGAUGCCUCUGGACGUGUAACUUGAAGAGGCCCUGGACAAAGCUCUGCAUGGAAACUUCCGUGGUGUAGCUCUGUGUUCAAGGUGACCCUCGACUGGAUGUGCAGGUUCCUGAAGAAGAUACUGUCUUAGGAUUCAUCUGUCAAGGCUUUAAUUAAAUACAAUCACAAUGGUGAAUGUUUUUUUAAAAAAAAAAAAACUAAGCCCAGAAAAAUUAAAAAAUAAUUUGUGUGUCAU